rnacentral:rRNA from 1 species
GGUUAAGUGACUAAGCGUACAUGGUGGAUGCCUUGGCAGUCAGAGGCGAUGAAGGACGUACUAACCUGCGAUAAGCUGUGAGAAGUCGGUAAGAGACGCUAUUACUCACAGAUUUCCGAAUGGGGAAACCCACCCAGCAUAAGCUGGGUAUCUAUUACUGAAUACAUAGGUAAUAGAGGCGAACCGGGAGAACUGAAACAUCUAAGUACCCCGAGGAAAAGAAAUCAACCGAGAUUCCCUCAGUAGCGGCGAGCGAACGGGGAUUAGCCCUUAAGUUUCUUGGAAGUUAGUGGAAUGGUCCUGGAAAGGCCAGCGAUACAGGGUGAUAGCCCCGUACAUGAAAACGACCUUGAAGUGAAAUCGAGUAGGGCGGGACACGUGACAUCCUGUCUGAAUAUGGGGGGACCAUCCUCCAAGGCUAAAUACUCCUGACUGACCGAUAGUGAACCAGUACCGUGAGGGAAAGGCGAAAAGAACCCCUGUGAGGGGAGUGAAAUAGAACCUGAAACCGUGUACGUACAAGCAGUGGGAGCCCUUCGGGGUGACUGCGUACCUUUUGUAUAAUGGGUCAGCGACUUACAUUUUGUAGCGAGGUUAACCGUAUAGGGGAGCCGUAGGGAAACCGAGUCUUAACUGGGCGUCUAGUUGCAAGGUGUAGACCCGAAACCGGGUGAUCUAGCCAUGGGCAGGUUGAAGGUUGAGUAACAUCAACUGGAGGACCGAACCCACUAACGUUGCAAAGUUAGGGGAUGACCUGUGGCUGGGGGUGAAAGGCCAAUCAAACUCGGAGAUAGCUGGUUCUCCCCGAAAGCUAUUUAGGUAGCGCCUCGGACGAAUACUACUGGGGGUAGAGCACUGUUUGGACUAGGGGGUCAUCCCGACUUACCAACUCCAUGCAAACUCCGAAUACCAGUAAGUAAUAUCCGGGAGACACACGGCGGGUGCUAACGUCCGUCGUGAAGAGGGAAACAACCCAGACCGCCGGCUAAGGUCCCAAAGUUCUGGUUAAGUGGGAAACGAUGUGGGAAGGCUCAGACAGCUAGGAUGUUGGCUUAGAAGCAGCCAUCAUUUAAAGAAAGCGUAAUAGCUCACUAGUCGAGUCGGCCUGCGCGGAAGAUGUAACGGGGCUCAAACCAGGCACCGAAGCCGCGGAUUCACACUUAUGUGUGAGUGGUAGGGGAGCGUUCUGUAAGUCUGCGAAGGUGU